rnacentral:rRNA from 1 species
UGAGGAAUCUUACGCAAUGGGGGCAACCCUGACGCAGCAACGCCGCGUGAGUGAGGAAGGUCUUCGGAUCGUAAAGCUCUGUCAGUUGGGAAGAAUAGGCGUGGGAGGGAAUGCCCGCGUGAUGACAUGAACCGGCGAAUAAGCCCCGGCCAACUACGUGCCAGCAGCCGCGGUAAUACGUAGGGAGCGAGCGUUGUCCGGAAUUACUGGGCGUAAAGGGUGCGUAGGUGGCUUGGCAAGUCAGAUGUGAAAUCCCCGGGCUUAACUCGGGUGCUGCAUUUGAAACUGCUGGGCUUGAGUGCAGGAGAGGAAAGCGGAAUUCCUAGUGUAGCGGUGAAAUUCGUAGAUAUCAGGAGGAACACCGGUGGCGAAGGCGACUUUCUGGCCCUAUACUGGCGCUGAGACGCGAAAGCGUGGGUAGCGAACA